rnacentral:rRNA from 1 species
UACGGAGGAUCCAAGCGUUAUCCGGAUUUAUUGGGUUUAAAGGGUGCGUAGGCGGCUUAUUAAGUCAGUGGUGAAAGCCCCCGACUCAAUCGGGGAACUGCCAUAGAUACUGUUAUUCUUGAGUGUGGUUGAGGUGGGCGGAAUAUGACAUGUAGCGGUGAAAUGCGUAGAUAUGUCAUAGAACACCGAUCGCGAAGGCAGCUCGCCAAACCAUUACUGACACUGAAACACGAAAGUGCGGGGAUCAAACAGGAUUAGAUACCCGGGUAGU